UUGGGACACAGCUUGUGGACCAAGCUAGUUGGAGUCUUGGGUUACCACAAAGAGGAAGAACCAGAUCAAGCUAUUCGCUCGGCCGUGUAAAGUCCCAGCUAGCACUUUGUUGUUUUUGCAUUUCAAAAUUCCUUAGCUUUACUGUACAUUGUAAACAUGUCUUGAUUAUAUGAGGAAUGAAGAACAAAGAAAAGACACUGUUACUGUAAAAUCCAGAGUGGAAGUAGUCUUCGUAUCUGUAGCAGCAAAUGAAAAGAAAAACGAAAGCAAUAUGAUGGAAAAAGGAUCCCAGAGUGUUAUAUACAGUUGGGAUCUCCAAUAGUUCCCCUUCAGAAAGAUAGCGAAGUUUUUUCAAAGUAAAAUCAUUGAUCCCCUCACAGAUAGCAACAAGCUAUCAAGGAACGCUCCAAUCAGCAAAACAAGAAAUCAUGAUGGUAAAUGGAUCUCAGCGUGUAAGACUUUUAUCUCCAUUUCAUUGUUAGAUGCAGGAAGAUAACGCAGUAAAAUCAAUAACAUCAUUCAUCCACAAUAAAAAUAAAAUUAAAAUCAAAUAAAAACAAAACAGAGGGAAAGAGCAUCUCGGAGAAAUCUGUCCCCGUGAUUUUCUUGACUGCAAAAUCAAAGUGCAAGGAUAACGAUUUGGCUAACUCAUCACUGAUGCUCGUAUAAGCAAAUUUGAACAAUUGAAAGCACUCAACGAAAAUCUUGUUGAUUAGUCGCAUACGAAUAGAUAAGAUACCUUCUUCCAGUUCCACUGUUGUAGCCACGGUGGAGAGAGAGAGAGAGGUGAUGGGUCCAUGGUGGAUGAGAUGGUGUUUG
rnacentral:lncRNA from 1 species